GUGAACGCUGGCGGUGCGCCUAACACAUGCAAGUCGAGUGGGUUCAGACCCACGGCAGACGGCUGCGUAACACGUUGGUACCUACCCCGAACUCAGGGAUAUCCCGCCGAAAGGCGGAGUAAUACCGGAUGCCCUCGCAAGAGGAAAGAUUUUUCGGUUCGGGAGGGGCCUGCGGCCUAUCAGGUAGUUGGUAAGGUAACGGCUUACCAAGCCUAUGACGGGUAGCUGAUUUGAGAGAAUGAUCAGCCAGAAUGGAACUGCGACACGGUCCAUACUCCUACGGGAGGCAGCAGUGAGGAAUCUUCCGCAAUGGGCGAAAGCCUGACGGAGCGACACCGCGUGGAGGAUGAAGGGAUUUUUUCUCGUAAACUCCUGUUCUGAGGGACGAAAUUUUUGACGGUACCUCAGGAGAAAGCAUCGGCAAACCCUGU
rnacentral:rRNA from 1 species